rnacentral:rRNA from 1 species
AGUCAGAGGUGAAAGUCGGUUGCUUAACGAUCGAAUUGCCUUUGAAACUGUCAGACUUGAGUAUGGAUGCGGUAGNCGGAAUGUGUAGUGUAGCGGUGAAAUGCAUAGAUAUUACACAGAACACCGAUUGCGAAAGCAGCUUACCAAACCAGCACUGACGCUGAAGCACGAAAGCGUGGGUAGCGAACAGGAUUAGAUACCCUGGUAGUCCACGCAGUAAACGAUGCUCACUCGCUGUUGGCAAUAGAUCGUCAGCGGCUAAGGGAAACCGAUAAGUGAGCCACCUGGGGAGUACGAUCGCAAGAUUGAAACUCAAAGGAAUUGACGGGGGCUCGCACAAGCGGUGGAACAUGUGGUUUAAUUCGAUGAUACGCGAGGAACCUUACCUGGGCUUAAAUGUACGAUGCAUAAGUGUGAAAGCACUUUUUCCUUCGGGACUUUGUACAAGGUGCUGCAUGGUUGUCGUCAGCUCGUGCCGUGAGGUGUCGGGUUAAGUCCCAUAACGAGCGCAACCCCUAUUGUUAGUUACCAGCGCGUAAAGGCGGGGACUCUAGCGAAACUGCCGGUGUAAACCGCGAGGAAGGUGGGGAUGACGUCAAAUCAGCACGGCCCUUAUGUCCAGGGCUACACACGUGUUACAAUGGCCGGUACAGCGGGCAGCGAGGCAGCGAUGCCGAGCGAAUCUCGAAAGCCGGUCCCAGUUCGGAUUGGAGUCUGCAACCCGACUCCAUGAAGGUGGAAUCGCUAGUAAUCGCGCAUCAGCCAUGGCGCGGUGAAUACGUUCCCGGGCCUUGUACACACCGCCCGUCAAGCCAUGGAAGUCUGGGGUGCCUGAAGGCCGUAACCGCGAGGAGCGGUCUAGGGUAAACAAAUACNUGGGGCUAAGUCGUA